GAUGAACGCUAGCGGGAGGCUUAACACAUGCAAGUCGAGGGGCAGCAUAGGGUAGCAAUACUCUGAUGGCGACCGGCAAACGGGUGAGUAACGCGUAUGCAACCUACCCUGUACAGGGGGAUAACCCGGAGAAAUUCGGACUAAUAUCCCGUAAUAAUAUCCGGAGGCAUCUUUGGAUAUUUAAAGUUCCGACGGUACGGAUGGGCAUGCGUAACAUUAGCUGGCUGGUGGGGUAACGCCACCAGGGCGACGAUGGCUAGGGGGUCUGAGAGGACGAUCCCCCACACUGGUACUGAGACACGGACCAGACUCCUACGGGAGGCAGCAGUGAGGAAUAUUGGUCAAUGGGCGGAAGCCUGAACCAGCCAUGCCGCGUGCAGGAUGACGGCCCUACGGUUGUAAACUGCGUUUUCCCGGGCGAAUAACCCCUCGCGAGGGGGAGUGCCGGUACCGGGGAAUAAGGAUCGGCUAACUCCGUGCCGAGCCGAGCCGCGGUAAACCAGAGAGUA
rnacentral:rRNA from 1 species